GGCGCAUGCGUGCUGAUGGCCCGGCUGCUGAGCCAGGGCCGUGGGCGUCGACGGGCCUUCUCCAGGUCCACAGGCUGCACUUUCCUGCCGUGGGAACACAGGACUUUGUCACACAUGAAGUCUCCAGAUGGCACCUGAUCCUUCUAACGACUACCUGUGGUCUAAUCGGACUUGAAGAUGCUUCAUCUAAUCGGGUUUCCUACUGGGCUUCCUGCCUCAGCUCUGAACAACGAAAACAAGGGUGAUAUCAGUGAAGGCCAAGUGGGAAACCAAGACUUCCAUCUCCACCUGGUAGUAAAGCCACCACACUCCCUUGUUGGUAUCAGAAGAAGCCCAGAAGGAAGCCAGAACUUUCACCACUGUUUAGUAGUGGGGUCUAUCCCCACCCCUCCUCCCCACCACACUCUGCAGGGUAAAUGAGACCACAAAGGAAGCCUGUAAUAGUCUGUUCUCAUGCUGCCAAUAAAGCCAUACCCAAGACUGGGAAAUUUAUAAGGAAAGAGGUUUCAUUUACUCACCGUUCCACAUGGCUGGGCAGGCCUCACAAUCGUGGCAGAAGAUGAAGGAAGAGCAAAGGGACUUCUUACAUGGCAGCAGGCGAGAGACAGCGCUUGUACUGGGAAACUCCCCUUUAUAAAACCAUCAGAUCUCGUGAGACUUAUUCACUAUCACAAGAACAGCGUGGGAAAAACCCACCCUCAUCAUUCAAUUACCCUCCACCGGUCCCUCCCACAAUGUGUGGGAAUUGUGGAAGCUACAAUUCAAGAUGAGAUUUGGGUGAGGACACAGCCGAACCAUAUCAAAGCCUGAAAUCCCUUCCCCGCCCAGCAGUGAUAAGGUGUACCCCUCCUCAGGAUGUCAAAUGAGGCAGUGUAAGUAGUGAGAGCUUCCAUCCACAUCUGGUGGCAAAGAGGAGUGAGUUCCCUUUCCCAUGCCAGUAGUGCCAGAGGAGGUCUUCUAAAACACAAGAUUUAAAUAGGACCCAGAGUCUUAUAACAUAGUACCCAAAAUGUCCAGAAUGCAACUUUUAAAAAGCACUCAUCUUACCAAGAACAAGGUAAAUCUCAACUUCAAUGGCAAAAGACAUUCAGUCAGGCCAGGCACAGUGGCCUGUAAUCUCAGCACUUUGGGAGGCCGAGGCAAGUGGAUCACUUGAGGUCAGGAAUUUGAGACCAUCCUAGCUAACAUGGUGAAACCCCACCUCUAGCAAAAAAUGCAAAAAUUAGCCAGGCAUGGUUGCUUGCACCUGUAGCCUACUCAGGUGGCUGAGGCAUAAAAAUCGCUUGAACCUGGGAGACAGAGUUUGCAGUGAGCUGAGACGGUACCACUGCACUCCAGCCUGGGCAACAGAGUGAGAUCAUGUUAAAAAAAAAAGACAUUCAGUCUACAAACGACAACAUCAACAUGACACAGAGGUUGGAAUUAUAUAACAGAGGUUUUAAAGCAGAUGUUAUGUAACUACUUCAACAAGCAAUUCCAAAUGUAGUUGAAACAAAUGAAAUAAUAGAAAGCCUUUCAAAUAGAAGAUAUAAAGAAGAACCAAAUGGAAGUUCUGGAACUAAAAAAUACAGUAAUCAAAAUUUUAAAACACAAUGAGUGAAUUCAAUAGCAUCAUGGAAAAGACAGGAAAUAAUUAUAUGGUUAACUUGAAGACAGUACAAUAGAAAUUACCCAAUCUAAACAACAGAGAGAAAACAGAUUGAAAAAAAAAAAUUGAACAGAACCUCAGGGACUUGCAGAACUAUAACAAAAGAUCUCAGAAGGAGAGGAGGAAGCAGGUGGGCCUCAAAAUAUAUUCCCAGAAAUAAUGGUGGAAAACUUCCCAAAUUUAUCAAAAAACAAACUACAGAUUUAAGAAACUGAUCAAACCCCAAGGGCAAUAAACCUGAAGAAAUUUCCACUAAGACACACCAUUCUCAAACUUCAGAGACCUGUUAAAACAAUGAAAGUAAUUUUGAAAGCAGCCAGAGAGAGACUACACAUUACCUAUAGGAAAAAAGGGGGAAACAAUUCAAAUGACAGCUGACUUCUCAUCAAAAGUCAAGAAGCCCUGGAGGAUACAGCAGCCAUUUUCUAAGUGCUACAGUAAACGAGCUGUCAACCAGAGUUCUGUGUCCAACAAAAAUAUCCUUUAGGGAUGAAGGUAACCAAGACAUGCUCAGAUGAAGACAACCUACGAAUAUUUGUCACCAGCAGACUUCCUCUAUGAGAAUGACUACAGGAAGUUACCUGACAGAAAGUAAAUGAUAAAAGAAGGAAUUUGGGAAUAUAAAGAAAGAAAAAAAACAGAAAGAACAAAAAUAAGAAUAACUACAAUAAACUUCCCUUCUGACUUUUCUAAAUUGUUUUUGACAAUUGGAGCAAAAAGUAUAAUAUUGUCUUAUUUGACUCUCAAUGAAUGUAGAGGAAAUAUUAAAACAAUUAUAAAUGAGGGAGGGUAAAGAGAAUUAAAGGGCUACACUUAACACUGGUAAAAUAUCCACAUCAGCAGACUGCUAGUUUUGUAUGUAUAAUUUAAUACUUAGAACAGUUACUAAAAAUAUAAAGAGAUAUGCCUACAAACAAUAUAGAAUCAAAAUACAAUUCUAAAAUAUGUUAAAGUAUUUCACAGGAAGGCAUGAAAGAAAGAAAUGAAAAAGAAAACAGAGAAAACAGAAAACAAAACAUAAUAUGGCAGACUUCAACCUUACAAUAUCAAUAAUUACAUUAAAUUUUUGGUAAUGAUCUCUAAUACUAUAUGACUUAAUUUAUAUAACAUUCUGAAAAUGACAUAAUUACCAGAUAUUGAGAAGAGAUCAGUGGUUGGCAGGGGUUAAUGAUAGUGCAGGGAGGGAAAUAGGUUUGGCCGUGAAGGGGUAGCCCAAGCAAGACGUCGUGGAAUAAAAGUUUUGCAUCUUUCUUGUGGUGGUGGUUACAAAUGUGAUAAAAUGUCAUGGAACUAUACACAGACAUUGUCCUCAACCCAAAAAACACUUUGUCCCCAUUUGCAGUCUUUCCUCAUUUCCACUCACAGCCCAAAGCAAACACUAGUCUACCUUCUAGGCUUUAUAGACUUGACUAUUCUGGACAUUUUAUAUAAAUGGAAUCAUACAAUAUGGAAGUCUUUUGUCUGGCAUCAUUUAGCAUAAUGUUUUUGAGGUUCAACUAUGUUUUAGCACACAUCAGUACACUGUUUCUUUUUAGUGGACACUUGGGUUUUAUUAAUAAGCAGCUUAGGCAAGCAAUCAGGACAACAUUCAUUGUGCUCCAUACAGCACAACAAGCAUAGCCCUUCAUCUAGAAAUAAUUGCUAAUGAGAAAUACAUGGGAACUGAAUGGUACAGGAGCCAUAAUUCCCAGUCCUGUAGACUCAUGUUCCCAUUUCCAAAACAUAUAAAGAGAAAACUAAAUUGAUAUCAAGUUCCAUAAAUAUACAACAUUUAUUCAUCUAACGGUGCUAUAAUAAUAAUAAAAUGUCCUGAUUACUUACUUUUUACUAGAAACAUUAAUGCUGUAAAUGAAUUAUUUAAUCCUCAUAACAACUAUAGGAGGUAUGUACUAUUAUUAUCCACGUUUUUCCAAGUAGAAAAACCAGAGUUGAGGACGGAAUAGUAAUUUACCAAAGAUCACACAAUUAGUAAAUAGCGAAGGCUCUUAACCACUUUGCAGUAAUUUUUCUGUUCCUGUUCUCUAACACUGAAGCCUCUGUAUGUGUUGAGACCAAACUGUGGAGAUGGAAAAUGCCAGGCUAAGGAGUUUUAGUUCUAUUCUAUAGAACAUGGAAAUGCUGAAAGCUUUUGAGCAGGGAAAUGAAAAUAAUCAGAACUGAAGAUGUCCUUCGCAUUACUAUGUCAAAUGAUUCUGAGGGAGGAGACAGAAACCGGUAAGGUAGCUCUAAAAAUAGUGAAAUCCAGAGUCCAUAAGGGCUUGACUGAGAGUAAUGAGAAUAGGAAUAGAAAGGAAGGAAAUUAUUUCCAAAAAAACUUCAGAGAUGGACCCAAAAUAACAUAACAAUAGAUUGGUUGCAGAAGGCAAGGAGAUAGAUAAUUUAUUUAAUCCUUUAAAUGAACAAUGUAUCAUAAGUAAAAAAUCCAACACAGAGCAUGGUUCGGCAAGAGUUGCGUGGAGCAGGAGCGUCACAGAGAAUAAGAGUUAGCUCUUACUGAGUACUUCCUCUGUCCUCGUUUAAGUGGGGCGCUCAAGUCUUUCAACCCUGUGAUACUACAAAAAACAGACAACAUGCGUCAAAAGCAAUGUUAAAUCAAGAGUUGAAAAAAUCCGUCCUGCUUUUAACAUAUUUGGGGUCAUAGAAAGACAUCCAGGUGAUGAUGUGUGAAAGUUAUUAAUCUGAUACUGGAAAUUUAGAGAUGGAUCAAAAUAAGAGAGCAUUUGAAAGGUAUUCAAUUAGAGGAGGUAAUUUGAGUCAUGGGAUAGCUAAGAGAGAAAGAAUUCUGAAGGGGGUGAAUAUUACUGUUCAUGCAAUAAAACAAACUCCAGAAAUUGUAGAUUUAUAGUUGUCAUAUACAUAGGGCCUAAAAUGGACAAGAGGAAUUUCACAUUUCCACCAGUGGUUGAACAGAUGAAACUGAUCUAAAUGUACUCUAAAUUAAAAUUCACAGUGAUUCUGACUAACGCAUAGGACAAGAAUGAAGAAGCUCUUGAAGUCUGCUAUAGUCUUAUGCAGAAACAGAAUUAUUAAAUAAAAUAGCGCUCUAUAUAUCCCAGGAAUUUUCUAAGCAAUACUAAAUUAAAAUCUAUCAUUAUCAUUCCUGUUGUUUGACUAAACUUACUUUUAAUUUAGACAGAAUUAGUGAGUUAUACUCACUCGGUCAGAAUUCAAUAAUUAUUUGCUAAAUGAAAGAAUGACAAAAGCUAAUUCCUCUGAAGAAUUUGAUGGUCAGGAAUAAAUCCCCUCUUCUGUAGCGAGUCUUCCAGAGUGUUUGAAAUACCAUAAAAGCAUAUAUUUUCUUUUAUAGGAAAAAGAAAUAACUUUACUAAUAGCGAAAUAAAAUACAGCUGUCCUCAAAACAUAUAAUCAAGUUAAGUUUAAGAGACAAGUCAAUCCACAAAAUAAUUUCUAAUUAUCUGAAACAAUAAAGCACUUUCUGCUUAGCAUAAUCAGGUGAGUAGAAUCUGGGUUUGUACUUUUCUCUUUGAGUAAUGAGCAGGCCUUGAGGUUUCAAAUAAAUUAUCGGAAGCAGCCAGUGGAAGAAGUGAUUUUGGAUAAAUCUCCCCUGGUACGCUGCUAGCACCCUGCCAGAGACCAGUAUUAACAUGUUGAAAGACUGCAGUUUACUAAGAAGAGAUAACACAGGGAAGACUCGUUCUAUUCAAGCAAUUAGAUUAAGUUGUUAGUUUAAAAUGUUUGGAGGAUCCUUCUUACAGGAAAUAGACAUUCUAGAAUAAAAGUAUACAUUCAGAAGGAAUGGUUCAUUUUAAUAUUUAUUUUAAAUGUUUAUUUAUUAUAGGUUAUUUUAUUCAAGUAAGAAAAAUACUUUGAAAUUCUUUUAAACUGACUUGAGACUUUUUACCUUAAAAUGUAGACAUUCUCUUCAAACAGCAGCUUUAUUCCCAUCCUUCCCACUAGAUGCUAUCAUCACAAAUUCUCCCUUCCUGUUAAAUCAUAUUUUUAAAAAUCUCAAACAUGGUCUUUUUAAUUCAUUCUAAAAAUGAAAAUUUCUGAAUUCUGAUUUAAAUUCCUAGCAUAUAUAUCUCUAAUAAACAACUUCCAUAAUAAUUACAGUGCUUCUUUUAUUUGCCUUAGAAUUCUGUGUUUCUCAAUUAUUUCCAUUUAAGUACCCCUAAUGAAAGAAAAGAAUGAAUACAUAAUCAUAAACUAGAAUUUUAAUCAGAGCUUCAAAUUUAAGUCUUAAAUUUGUCUGAAACAGCAUGCCAAUUUUAUCUGUCUAUUCUGUUUCAUUGUAAAAAUGGCUUAAAUUGCUUUUCAUCAAACAAAUUUAGAUGUAUCCUAAGUGUCCUCAGAGCUUUUCAAAAUAUCGCUUGUAGCAUACCAGCAAAGAAUGUGUUUCUAACAAAAGGUAGGGCACUCAUCAUAAAGGUAGAGAACUAAAAGCAAAUGGAAGCUGGACCAGUGCCUGCCAGAUCCAGCUGCCAACACCGAGGUCCAACACAAAGUGCUCUUCCUCGCCAGCCUCAGACCAAGAAGAACCAAGCCCGACUGUUCCUGGUCCCAAGUUCUUUAGGAAUUCAGGAAUGACUUGGUUCCUGUUGGACUGGAGAGCAAGCCCUUGAACAUCUACAUGCCACUGACUUUCAGCCUUCCUCUCCAACUUCUGCCCUGUGGGCCAGUCUCUACGACAGUUCACUACUGAUCCUGGUUUCCACUCCACUUUUCCUCUGAGGUGACAAGUCUGCUGUGAGCACCCCAUGAUUAGACUGAGCCAGCCAGGUCCUGCUUCAGCCCAUUCAGACCCUCUGCCUGAUAUGAGUUCCACCGGUGAGGCAGCAGACUAAGCCCAAGUUCAGAGUGGGUGGGUCAUUGGCCCUAAGCAGCUUGGCCACCUGUCACCUAUGAUGAGAGUCUUCCCUGUCCUGGUCUCCUUUCUUUCCUUCACAGUGCAGCCUGCUCCCGUUGCAUACACUGGGUAUGACAGCGUAUACCAGAUGGCCAUGAGAUUAGCUGGACUUGCGAAUGAUUACCGAAUAAAUUGCUGAUGUCAGGGAGGCAACAGACCAGCUUAUGCAAGGAGUCAGAUCCCAAGCUGAGAGAUGAGGAUUUACUACAACAUAGCUAAUACUUUGAGAAAGAAAAGGACAAGAUAAAAAUGGUAUUCAAGGUGAUACACUAGUAGCAGAAUAGAAUGCAGACAGCGGAUGGAAAACACUGGAGAGAGAAAUAUAGCAUGAAAACAAAUCUCUAAUAAUGUACUUAGGGCCUGGAAUAAAACAGUGGUUCUAUAAUGAAAGCAAGAGAUAAGACACAUUUUGAAGAAAGCAUCUCCAGACCUUGAUGGUAGAUUAAAGAUCAGUCCGUUAUCAAUGAAUUUUGAAACCACAUAUUUGCCAGUUGCUUUUCUGGGCCCAGAAGAGACAGCAAUGAAUAAAUCAGAGCCCCUGCCCGCCCCCAGAACUGUCAUUCUAAUGGGGGAAACUAAUCAUGUAAUAGGUACUGGAUGUCAUCUAAUUUGGCACAUUCUCAGGCUUUCUCCCUACAUGCCUUCCUCAUAGAGGCUAGAUAGCCAGGUACUUCCUAAUCGCUGAGGCCAGUAGGGGGUCAGCUGAUUGGUUUAGACUCUCUAGACAAAAGAAAGGCUCCUUUCUUGAUAAAAGGAGCACUUCCUAGAAACGUUUGCUUUCUUGAUACAAGGAACAGAAACUGCUGGUGCCAUCCCAUUUUCCCCCUUCCUACCUAGAACAUAGAAGUAGUACCUGGAGCUACUAAGGGGCAACAAGCAUGAAAAUUAAAAGUUAAUACCCUAAAGACAGCAAAACAGGAAGAUAGGAGAGUCCUUGAUAGCUGUGAGCAACUGGACUAAUCUGGCAACCACUUUACUCUUCUUGUUAUAUAAGAAAAAUAAACCCCAUUCCUGGUGCCAGCUGCCGAAACAGAGCUCUUCACUGCAAGCAACAAAAUCCAGCCCUGGGGAAUUACACAGAAAAGGAAUGUGUUAGAAGAAUACUGAGUAGCUCACAGAAUCUUCAAGAGGGCUAAAGAAUAAGGUUCCAACUUAAGAUUCCCGGAACAACAUAUAAAACCUUCCGUAGAACUGGCCUGAUGGGGAAAUCACCAGCUCAUCGCAGCAGGGCCCCAAGUGCUACAGCUUGCACUCUUGCCACUCUCCCACCAGGAACAUAACUGUACAGCAAAUAAGGUGAUACCAACCUGGCACAGUCAUCUUUGCUGUCACCCUAACCAGAAAGUGAAUCCCACAGGGAGCCUACUAUUGCACCUUGCUCUCUUCCAAAUUGCACAACUACCUGUGCCCUUAAUGGAAAGAAAUUAUGGCGCUCGUUCAGCUCCUGCAGAAGGAAACAUUCUUUGCCCUACAAAGAUUCAUAAGGUGAGUAAUUUAUUAAACUCAAAAAGGGAUUCAAAUUGUAAGAAUACCAAAUGAAUCGCAAAUAUAUACCACUGUGGUGGGUUGUUCACAAAAAUGAUUACAAUUCUUCUCUCCUCAUAUCCAUAUCCAUUUACAAUGUAAUCUGUAGCUCUUCCCCUUAAGCAGUAGAGACCAUUUCCCCACUCCUAGUGUUUGUGCUGCUUUGACCAAAAAUGAGGCAGAAGAGACAUUGUGCUACUGCCAAAACCAAACCUCAAGAGGACUGGUACAUUUCUGUUCUCUCAGGAAUCUUGUUAUCCACCCUGUGAGUAAGCCUGGGCUGGCCUGCUGGAUGAUAAGAGAAACCUAGCCCCAGUGCCCAGUUACCCCAGCCAACAGCCAACCAACCCCCAGGAGCAGAGCCACCCACCUGGCCACUGACACAUGAGCAAGCCCAGCCUAACCCAGAUACCACCCAUUUGAGCCCAGUCCAGUUGGCCCACCCAAAGGAUUGUGAGCUCAAUAAAUGUUUGCUUUAGUACUAAGUUUGGACUGAUUUUUAGUGCCAUAAAAGCUAACAGAUACAACUACAGACAGCAAAACAGGCAAGUUGGUAAAUAAGAUAAUUUCAGGUACAGAAGUGCUAUGAAAAAGAUCAUGUAGGGUAAUUUUGUAGAGGUGAUGAGGGCCACUCAAUUUGUCAGGGAAGUCUUCUCUGAGAAGGGGACAUUUAAGGUAAAACAAGUUUAAAAAGAGAAAACUACUCAAAGACUAUUCAAAGAUACAGGAGAAAUGUAUUCCAAAUGUAACAGCAAGUGCAAAGCCCCUGAGUGAGGACUGGGAGUACUCUAAAGACUGAAAGAAAGCCAGUGUGACUGAAAAAUAGGAACAAGAUGGAGAGUCAAGGAAGACUUCAUCAGAGACGUAGGAAGAGGCCAGAUUGUUUAGGGCCCUCUGCACUGGGGUUAGGAGUUUAGAUUGUAUUUUUUAAGGUAUUUGAUAGAUAUCUAUAUUAGAGAGAUCGUUGUGGUUGCUGUGAGGAGGACGGGGGUUAUAACAGGAGUAGAGACGGGAGCCUUGCUCUCUCUCCUAGUUGGGACAGAAACUUGUGGUGGCUUACAUGAGGUGUGUAGCCAGGGAAAGACGAGAAGUGGAUUGGUUGGGAUGUAUUUGGGUAUGAAACUGUUAAGACUUACUAUUGUAGGUUAUAGGAUAAAGAAAGGGCUCAAGUUUGACCUUUAGCUUUGGGUGAGUGAAUGGUUGGACCAUUUACUGAUAUGGGGAAGGCUUGAGGAAAGGACAGUGGAUGAGUGUUGACAUCUGUAAUUAUAGUUCAGCUGUGUUAUGUUUGAGAUACCUGUGGAUUUCAAAAUGGAGAUAUCAAGUAGACAGUUGGCUAUCUGAGUCUAAGCUCAGGCCGGUGAUCACAUAUGGAGCUGUAAAGUUGAGAGUAAUCAGCUUGCAGAUGGCACUUUAAACCACGUAAAUGUGGUAGGAGAGGGACUACAUAACUGGAGAGAAUUUUCUAGGAAGAUAAUUUAUAAACAAAAGAGAAGAGAGCCUAAGAUAAAGCCUUUGGACUUUUCAAGGUCUUGUAGAGGAGGAGAGCUUCCAAAAUAAACUGAGAGAGUGUGGCCAACAAGGUAAGAGGAAAACAAGGUAGGAAAGGUUCCUGAGAGCCUUGAGGAGGGGGCACUCUAAGGAAAGGUGGUGGUUAGGCUAGAUGAGCACCCCUGAUGGAAUAUAUAAAUCAAUGCUUAUGCAAGAGGGAGAUCAUUGGUGAGCUGAUUAUGGCCAUUGUAGUGGAGUUGCAGAGGACAGACCAAUUAGGGAUGGUUGAGGAAAGACUAAGGGAUGAGAGAGGCGGACAGCUCUUUGCGGGAAUGUUUCUGUGAAGGGGAGCAGAGGAGUGGUACAAUGCCAGAGGUGGGCUAUGAGAUCAAAGAAGGAUGUUCUCUGAGAUAUCUGAUACUAAGUUGUAUUUGUGUGUUGAGCAGAAUGAUCCAACAGAGAGAAAGAGAUUAUCUGCUGGGUGCAGUGGCUCACACCUGUAAUCCCAGCACUUUGGGAGGCCGAGGCGGGCAGAUCACGAGGUCAAGAGAUCAAGACCAUCCUGGCCAACAUGGUAAAACUCCAUCUCUACUAAAAAUACAAAAAUUAGCUGGGCAUGGUGGCCUGCGCCUGUAGUCCCAGCUACUCGGGAGGCUGAGGCAGGAGAAUUGCUUGAACCUGGGAGGCAGAGGUUGCAGUGAGCCAAGAUAGCACCACUGCACUCCAGCCUGGUGCCUGACAAUGGAGCGGGACUCUGUCUCAGAAAUAAAGAAAGAAAGAAAGAAAGAAAGAAAGAAAGAAAGAAAGAAAGAAAGAAAGAAAGAUUAUCCAAGACAGGGAAGGGAUAAUGCUGAAUGCAAGAUGUUAAGAAGGUGAAAGAGGCUGGAACCCUGGGCACAGUGGAGUGGCAGGAGCAGGGAUGCUUGUCUCGUAGAAGCAGAAGGAAGGCACACGAUGUGGUACCUGAUGCAGGUCAUCUGGAUGAAUUAUUGGGAACAUAGAGGAAGCUUAGGAAAUGCAAGGAGAAAAGGAUAAAAUCAUCUUAGAAGGAAAGAAGUAAAUUACUAGGGAACUGUAUUAGGAUUUUAGGGCCAUUUUGGAUGCCCACUUGGGACUCGAGAUCAUCCAUUUUAAGUCCAUUCCAGUGGCAGUGGAAAUCAGAGGAAGUAGUCAAAAAUUAUUCCAAUGAGGACCAAAACGUUAGAAUGCCAGAAUUGAGAAAAGAUGCAUAUGUGCUCGCUUCGGCAGCACAGAUACUAAAAUUGGAACGAUUCAGAGAAGAUUAGCAUGGCCCCUGCACAAGGAUGACACACAAAUUCGUUAAGUGUUCCGUAAAAAAAAAAGAGAAAAGAUGCAUAUUUGGUGGAGAUAAAUGGAAGAAAAAUUAUAGAAUUAUCAGUUUUUCACAUCUUGAGCUCCAAUUAGCAAUGUCUUGUAGACAUCUAAAAAAUGCAAGGCUGGAAGACAAGUGGGAGGGCCAGCGAAGUGCAGACUUAACUGUCACAUGAUUCGUAAUAAGAUCAGGAAGAGCUGAGCAGCAGAGACCACCAUGGUGCAGGAAAGUGAGCUUCAGACAUGUGGACCUGUGGUGUGAUUGGGCCCAAGGAGCUGAAUCAUGUAGGUUGAAAUAUAACCCUUUUUUUGGCCACAUUCUCAGAAAAAUUGGAAAAUCCCUUUAUUUCAUGAAUUUCUUAAAAACCACUGUAUUCCAAGAUUCUGAGAAUCUGGCUUUUAAGAGUAAGAUAAAAUGUAUCAACCUUUGCUUUCCCCAAAAAAAGUUAUCCAAAAUUUCCAAAUUCAGGGUAUUAUCCUCCUUCAUAAAAAAAAAAAGAGAAUAUGCAGGUGACUUUAUAGCCUAACACAGUAACUGUAUAGCAUCAACUAAAAACCUCUGAAAAUAAAGGAGUGGACUUUUAAGAGGUGAGAAAGGGUGGAGGACUGGAAGGGAGGGAGGAAGACGGCGAUGUACGGAAGGGCCUUCUGUGUGCCAGGACCAGUCCCUGGAGUCUGAUCCUGGACAUCUGUCCAUAGGAAACAGCAUGGUAGAGUGAAAGGAGAGAGGACUCUGGAAUCACACACCCCUGGAAGUGAAUUUAAAGGCCCCCAUUUAUUAACUGUGCACACUAGAUGAGUUACUUAACCUCUGAGCUUGUGUAUUGCCUGUGAAAUGGAGAUAACAAUAACCCACUCUCCUGGAGCACCUCAAUGAGUAUAUGUAAAGUGCUUAUCCAAGUACCUUUUAAAUGGCAGGUAUUCAAUAAAUGUUUGUUUAAUUCCCUUUCACUUUACUGCCCAGAUAGAAGGUACAGAAUCUGAACAAAAGCUGAAAAGCAAAGUAUAUUAAAAUUAAGGGAGGCCCAGUAUGUCUAGAGAUGUUGUAAAAUCAGUAACCAUCUCUCUUCAUGUAAAUCUUACUGCAUGAUAUUCCAUCGCAAUAGUCUUAUUUCCCUACACCUGCCCCUUCAGGCCACUAACACUAGCUUCUGACCUGACAUGAUUAUUAUAGAACUUCAGAGCUCAACCUAAAGUUGGUUUAGUGUCCACAGCCUUUCCCUUUGCCAAAGCUAUAGCCUGUGUACCAGCUCUUUCCUGGGCCCUGCUUCCUACUAUGGUGAGAUGCUAACACUGCAGCUGCUUGUUCUAAUCUUCAAAACCUGGUGAAUUCUCAGGCCUAGCUUCCUGCAGCAGUUGGGCCUUGGGCCCCUCUCUGAAUCUCAGCUCCAUGCUUAACCUUCUCUGGACUCCUCAAUCCCACACUGAUCUCUUUUGCUUCCCAGUCUUGUGUUUUUUUCUUUUGCACCCAACUCGCUUCCACACAUUUUAUUGCAAUCCUCCCUGGCAUUCCAUCCCAUAAGCAUUGUCCACUGUGGAAGCACUGUUUCUGUAAGAUUCCUUCUUCAGUCUUUAAAACCCAAAGUUUUUCUGCCUUUGGACCGGCUUCCUAUCCCAGGGAAUAACUUAAAAUGAAAGAUGCACCAUAAUUUGCAGUUAUAGUCACAGCAUAAAGUCACAAGUUGACCUGCCAAUGGAUAUUAAGUUCCUUAUCAAAGGUGGAUGAAAUGUAGUGUAAAUGUAAUUCAAAAAUAGCAGCAGACAUAAGGCAACAUGAUGGGACAGCAUUGCUCUGUAGAAAGAGAAAUUUGCAAGACAGGAUUUUAAAUGGUCUAAACUUAAUAGUGUAUGAAAUGGCAUUUCUAUUGUAAUUUUAAGCUCUGUAAGUAGAAUCUAUAAAAUAUCUGAGGGGAAAAAAUGUCAAGAAGGCUAAAGGAAAGGCAUACAGUAUAAAAUACUGAAAAGAAAUAGACCUUUCUAUAGACUUAUAGAAAAUAGAAAUAGAAAAAGUUACCAGGUCACCUUGCUCUUGUCCCUGCCAGUGUAGCCCAUUCUCACGUGAUUGUCCUGUCUAAUUUUAGAUGACCCAAGAGUCUUGACUCCAGGAACUUUACUUAGAAAACUAUUCUGCUGUCUAACAAAUCUUCAGAAGUAGUCACUGCUUGCAGCUCUUCAGCCUAAAUUUUCAGCUUCCCAGUAGCUUCCAGUGGUUUCUUUGGCCUUCCUUAGCUGUAACUCCAGAUGUAGUUACAGUUAGAGGGAGGAUUUUCACCUCCUUGUCAGGUGUACCCUUAAAAUGCCUAAGAAAGGUGAGACCAUCAAAGCCAAGAUGGGCAUUCUCUCUCUUUUUUGUUUCGUUUUGGGUCUUGUUUUUUGUUGUGUUUGGAGACAAGGUCUUACUCUCUUGCCCAGGCUGGAGUCUAGUGGCACAGUCUCAGCUCACUGCAACCUCCCCCUCCCAAGUUCAAGCGAUUCUUCUGCCUCAGCCUUCCAAGUAGCUGGGAUUACAGGAGCGCCCCACCAUGUCCAGCUAAUUUUUGUAUUUUUAGUAGCAACAGGGUUUCGCCAUGUUGGCCAGGCUGGUCUCGAACUCCUGACUUCUGGUGAUCUGCAAGAUGUGCAUUCUCUAAAGAUCACUGGGAUUGCUGCAUAAUAAUUCAAGUCCUGAUUUCAUUGUUUCCAAUAUUACAAACUAUCCCAAAGCUUUAAAAAUGUCUGCAUUACAUUUUGCUUCCCAUUGUCCAGAAAGUUCACUGAAAGACAUAAUAAAUGCUACCAGUUAUUAAGUGGCUAUUCCAUGCCAGACAUUACAACAAGUGCUUUAUAUACAGUGACUCUGACCUGGACAGCAGUUAUUCACUGCAUUCUACAGAUGAGGAAACUGAGAGCUUCCUAGGGCCUCCAACCCAGCUGAAUGUGUUGUUGGAGCCACUAUUUAAGUCAUCUGUCUAAAAAAGCCUUGCUUAUUCUGCUGCUCUAGGCCAUCACUAUAGCACCUUUGUGAGGGUCUGUUGGUACCUGGUUCAAGGCUCUCCAAGUCCAAACAGGAGGUCCUCUCCUGACCCAGGAAGAAUGUGAGGGAGCAGAGCACUGCAAUCCCCAGGAGACAGGCUGCCUCUACCAGUCCUAGAGAGAAGUUGGUGAACAUUGCAGUUCCCCGUGUGCAGGCUGAUUCUGAGGAAGGGAUUGGCAGAUGCAUUUAACUCAAAGGAAUAAGGAACUUAGCCUCAGAGGGCACGAGGACACCAGAGUACAGAGUUUGGUAAAGAGGUCCCUGCUUCCCUAACUGCAAGCAGGACAAAGGAACUGCAGCCUGAUACCCAAUGGCCACAUUUAGAUUGCUGACCAUUCCAUGGUAGUUUCAAGGAUGCUGGACCCAUUCAAAGCUUUAAAUCAGGAUCAGAACAUACUUACAGGACCAGGUGUCAUAAGGAUGCUGCCCAGAACUUCUCCCUGACACAGGACCUAAGAGAAUGUUAGGACUCAUUCCCACAUCCAACUCAGUAAUCCCAAAUGCUGCAUCCACAGUGGGGAAUAAUGUCACCAGACACCAGAGUCUUCAUUACUCAGAGUGACCAGAGAGGAGUUGGUCUCCCUAGGAAGGUGAGUUAUUAAUACCUCCAGCUCUUCAGCCUUCAGAAUUAAUCCUACAUUUCAGCUUCUUGAAUCUUUGUGGCUAAAACAUGCUGACUAGUCUCAUCCUCAGUUUGCUUAGUUUUCUCUCCCAUUUCGAGGGAAAUGUUAAGAAUCAUUAAACUAGGCUGUCUGUUGCUACUGAUUUGCAGCUGUGUGUCUACUGAGAUAACACCAAGUGGAAAUCUGGACACUUCAGGCCCCUGAUGUGUGUUUCCUAGACAAAGACUAUGGUGAUUAGAUUGGAGUUCUUGAAACAACAUACCAGCUCAGCUUUUGAAACUUUGUGGCAGAUUUUUAAUUAGAACUCAUAUUGACUAAGCAUCUGACCUCAAGAGUGAAGCAUUGGAACUAAGAGAGUUGGAAUGCAACUAAAAGAAUAGAAUCUGCUUAUUUGGGGAAGUGACUUUAUUUCCCUCAAUUUCAGGGGACAGUAAAUCUGUUUCUAAGAAGUGGGAGGAGGCAGUCAUGGUUUGUAAUCUCAGCUCUGUGGCUUACAUUAUGUACAACUUUUGUUAAGGAACUUAACCGCCCUGAGACUGUUUCCUCAGCUAUGGUAAUACCAGCUUACAGUGUGCUUGUAAAGAUUAAAUGAAGUACCUUGCUUAGCACAGUGUCUUGUGCUUAAUAAAUAUUGAAAUCCCUUCUUUGAUGAACUAAACAGGGCCGGGCACUGUGACUCACGCCAGUAAUCCUAGCACUUUGGG